rnacentral:rRNA from 1 species
UUGAGGGCAAACCUGUCUCCUGCACCCAAUCAGUGAAAUUGAUCUCCUGGUACAAAAGCCAGAAUAAUUACAUAAGACGAGAAGACCCUGUGGAGCUUAAAAUUUACAACUACUUAAAAACUAGUAUCAAUUUUAAGUUGGGGCGACUUCGGAACAAAACAAAACUUCCGAGCUAGGAGUUAACUCACUCCAAAUAAGGCCAACAAGCCAACUAAACCGACCCAGUCACACUGAUCAACGAACCAAGUUACCCCAGGGAUAACAGCGCAAUCCCCUCCAAGAGUCCAUAUCGACAAGGGGGUUUACGACCUCGAUGUUGGAUCAGGACACCCUAAUGGUGCAGCCGCUAUUAAAGGUUCGUUUGUUCAACGAUUAAUAGUCCUACGUGAUCUG